AUUGAACGCUGGCGGCAUGCCUAACACAUGCAAGUCGAACGAGUGGCGGACGGGUGAGUAAUGUCUGGGAACCUGCCCUAUGGAGGGGGAUAACUACGGGAAACGGUAGCUAAUACCGCAUACCAUCGGAUGUGCCCAGAUGGGAGUAGCUAGUUGGUGGGGUAACGGCUCACCAAGGCGACGAUCUCUAGCUGGUCUGAGAGGAUGACCAGCCACACUGGGACUGAGACACGGCCCAGACUCCGACGGGAGGCAGCAGGAGGGAAUAUUGGACAAUGGGCGAAAGUCUGAGCGAGCAAUGCCGCGUGAGUGAAGAAGGCCUUCGGAUUGUAAAGAACUUUCGUCAGGGAAGCGGUAUCUACAGAGGAAGCAACGGCUAACUACGUGCCAGCAGCCGCGGUAAUUC
rnacentral:rRNA from 1 species